AGAAGAUGGAGGCCGUACGUGCAGGAGAAGAUGCCUGGGGACCUGGGAUCUUCGCUGGAGCCUGCUGGAUCAGUAGGAAAAACAAGGAGAUGUUGACUCAACUGCUGGAGGAUUCCAAGAUUGCAGUGCCCGAGGAUUCAUAGAUUGGCAGUCCCAAGCCACGAGUCAGAACCAGGAAAAGUCCCAUAAGUACCAGGAGUGAUGGAAACCGAUUGUUGGAAGUCUGCAAUGUCCAUUCAUCUCAGCGACAAGACGAAUGUGAAUAUACAACCACCUUAUUAGUGAAAACAAGACUAAAGACGUUUUGAAGGAGUAAAAACUUUUGCAUCGUUGGUCAAAAGGAGAUAAAUUAUUAAUAA